rnacentral:rRNA from 1 species
CCACUUUACGCAUCUCUACACCUCCUUGUGGUCACCGCUUCCACUGAGAGACCAGACAUUGACUGCGACUCCUCACUUUCGCACCCCUCGCUUGUCCUAAUCUAUGGGACCAUCAGGUGCGGCAUUUGCUACUCACGAUUCACAAUCCCCCAAAGGCGGGGAAUCACGACGUCGAUUGCGUAAUUCGUGAGGCGGACCCCUCAUGCCAGCGUUCUGACUUUGAGUUUCCUUAACUGCCCCCGGGCGUGUUCGCCACCUCGUACACCAAAUUAAGCUUCGUUGCGCUUCUUGGAAUGGGCCAGAACUGUAGGAGACUGUUGGGAUCUCUAUCCCGAAAGGGAAGCCCCUGUCUCACUGUCCACCACGUACCAACAGCAGUCGAGCACAGCACUCUACAACCCAAUUCAGGGCGUUGCUCGCGUUGGGAACUAGAAUCAACGGUCGUAAGUCAACCCGUGAGAUUCCACUGACGGCCACUGUUUGGCCUCCUUCCACCCCUACUGCAGUUUAGUAGUACGGGGAAUACUGGACCCGAUGUGUGCACGAUGUUACCUGUCUUGUUUCCCGACGCUCUGGCG